UUUUCUACACACGCUGAACAUCGUCGAUUUUCUUACAUUUCCGCGUUCGAACAGGGUUUCGGUGCCGGAUUCUUGAUCCCUGGGUUCCGAUUUCGUUUCUCUAAUUUCGUUUCCACGUUCUCUUAGUUUUAUAACUUUUCGUUUUCUUGAUCGUGAAUUGAUGCAGUGAGUGAAGAAGGUCGUGGACGAUGAGCAACGUGUUCGAGGGAUACGAACGCCAAUACUGCGAACUCUUGGCGAAUCUAACGAAAAAGUGCACUGCUGCUGGUGCUCUUAAUGGAGAGCAAAAGAAACAAAAAGUUUCUGAAAUAAAGACUGGAAUUGAUGCAGCUGAAGCUUUGGUUCGAAAAAUGGAACUCGAGGCCAGAAGUUUGCAGCCAAACGGCAACGUGCUUCUUGCUAAGUUGAUGCAGUAUAAAUCGGAUCUAAACAAUCUUAAAACCGAAGUGAAGAGAAUUGUAUGUUCGGCAUGGGAUGAAUUGUUGGAUGGCAUGGCAGAUGCUAUGAAGCCAUCCGUCGUCUCUUCAAUAAAAGGUCCUAAACAAAGCUAUCUGACUGCCGUGAGAGAUUACUAUGCAUCCGCAACAUCUCAGGACGAUUUAAGAACUUACUAUAUUGCAAAAGCGAAUUUCCACGCGGUAAUGGGCACGUACCACAUUGUUUCCAAGAAUUUCUCAAAGGCGGCGGAAGAGUUCAACUCUGUCUCAGAAGAGCUUAGGGCGUCGGAAGCUUAUAAGACUACCGGCAGCACUGGUGCGUCGUCCCUUCUUACUUGCUCUUCCCCUCCCUCCGCGGAAGCUUAUAAUAAGACUACCGGUUAGUGCCAAAAAUGACUCACGAACCUGCAGCGGAGACUCUUGAACAAUCAUAUAAGGACUACCAAGAGAACCACAGUUGAAGAGCACUCGGGUUUACAUGGUGGUGACCCAGGGGAUGUUGUUUGUAUGGAGAAUGGGGAGACCAUUUCACAAUGGUGGAAGCUUUACUUCUUGACGUUUGGGGUAAGACGUAGCUCAAAAACCUCGAACCUCAAUUCAAAAAGAAAAUUUCUUGACAAAAAAAGAAAAUUUCUUGACAAAAAAAGAAAUUAAAUCCUAUCCAUCUCUGAUACAAAGAAAAUCAGGCGGCCGGUUCUUCAUGGUUGGCUUCUUCCUGGUUGGCAGCGGCCUGGUUGGCUUCUUCCUGGUUGGCAGCGGGUCUUGGCCGUGGCCGUGGCCGUGGCCGUGGAGUAUCACGUCUGGUUUCUUGUAUAAUAACGAAGGACUGCCGGCAUCUUGACCACUCCAGCUUCGCUCGCUCGAAUUUUCCUUCUUCUACGUAUUUCUUGCACAGCUCCAGAUGUUGCAAAAUAAUAUCAGCAUGAGUUUCUACUAGCCUGUCCAUGGUGACGUGGGGAAAAUGACAGAGUUAUCCCCCUUCCAAACGACGACCUUUUAUUUAUAAUUGGAAUGAUUUUCGAAAGAGUAGCAAUACGGUGACACGCUUACGUGUCACUUACAUUCAUUUGACACGGUCCACGUCAGCUUUUUAAAAAAAAAACUGUAAAGUGGAGGGUAAAAGUGGAAAAACACCUAGGAUUUGUGUUUUCAGAUUCGAAAUCCCCAUUUGAGUUUUCUUAAGAAACUCGAUUUCCACCACUGUCAUAUGCUUCUCAGUUUCAUCUUUCAGACACCUUUUUGGUUUGAUUUUACGGUCCAGGUUUGGUCUUCGGAUUUGUGUCGCGCGUUUCCAUCAAGAAACUCCAUUUCUGUCGCGCGUUUCGUCUUCGGAUUUUACGGUACAGGUUUUUGAUUUUUUAUUUUCUGUGUUAGGCUGUGUAGUUUUUGUGGCAAUGUAAUUUUUUGGUACAUCGGUUUAUUGAUGUGGGGUUGUGGGGGACCAAUAUCUGAUUUUUGGGUUGAUGUGAGGUGGGGUUGGUUUGUUGGUGAUGUGUUCUAUGUUGGAGGUGGGGUUGGGGUUGCUUUGCUGGUAACGUGUUUUAUGUAGGAGCUUUAUGUGUGGUGCGACAGGAAGCAGAGUAGUAAAAAGGUUGAGUCUUUUGAGUUUCAUUUUGGCCCUAGGGUGUAGGCGUGAUACGGGGUCCAUUUGGUUUAAAAUUGGGGAGGUGGUUUCUUAGACUUUUGAGUUUGUUUUUGUCGCUAUGCCGUUGACUGAGGUUGGUUUUUAAGACCCUUUAUGCAUGCAUGAGUUGAGUAACGAGCUGCAGGAAGUGGUUAUGUUGUUAAUACUUAAGAUUGAAACUGUAAAAUAAUUCUAGAGGGCUUGAUUGAUCCCUCUCACAAUCUUCUAUUUAUAUGAAUAAAUUGAUACACAAAUACAUGAUAAAUAGGGUAACCCUAGACACAAUAUAAUCAUGAUAAAUAGGGUAAUCCUAGACAUAAUAUAAUCAUGAUAAAUAGGGUAACCCUUGACACACUAUAAUGAUGAUAAAAUAGGAUAAAUAUCCUAACACUCCCCCUCAAGAUGGAGCAUACAAAUUGUAUGUACCAAGCUUGGAACAAAUAAACUCAAUCCGAGGACCCUUUAAUGACUUGGUCAAUACAUCUGCGAGUUGAUCGUUUGACCCAAUAAACUCAGUACAUAUUUCUUUGGUCAACAACUUUUCACGAACAAAAUGACAAUCAAUUUCUAUAUGUUUAGUCCUCUCGUGAAACACUGGAUUUGAUGCAAUGUGGAGAGCAGCUUGAUUGUCGCAAUACAUCUUCAUAGUAUGGAUGUCACAAAAUUUAACCUCUUGAAGGAAUUGUUUCACCCAUAUAAGUUCACAUGUUAGUGAUGCCAUUGCCCUAUACUCGGCUUCCGCGGUUGAUCGAGCUACUACAUUAUGUUUCUUACUUUUCCAUGAAAUAAUGUUUCCUCCCAGAAAAACACAAUAUCCUGUUGUAGACCGUCUAUCAAUAGGUGAACCUGCCCAAUCUGCAUCACAAUACCCAGAGACAUGAAUGCUUCCUUUAUCUUCAUAUAACAAUCCUUGCCCGG